rnacentral:rRNA from 1 species
UACGUAGGGUGCGAGCGUUAUCGGAAUUACUGGGCGUAAAGCGUGCGCAGGCGGUUGUGUAAGACAGAUGUGAAAUCCCCGGGCUCAACCUGGAAACUGCAUUUGUGACUGCACAGCUGGAGUGCGGCAGAGGGGGAUGGAAUUCCGCGUGUAGCAGUGAAAUGCGUAGAUAUGCGGAGGAACACCGAUGGCGAAGGCAGGUCUCUGGGGCAUUAACUGACGCUGAGGAGCGAAAGCAUGGGGAGCGAACAGG